rnacentral:rRNA from 1 species
UACGUAGGGUGCGAGCGUUGUUCGGAAUCACUGGGCGUAAAGCGCACGUAGGCGGAUUUGUAAGUCAGGGGUGAAAUCCCGGGGCUCAACCUCGGAACUGCCUUUGAUACUGCAAAUCUCGAGUCCGGAAGAGGUGAGUGGAAUUCCUAGUGUAGAGGUGAAAUUCGUAGAUAUUAGGAAGAACACCAGUGGCGAAGGCGGCUCACUGGUCCGGUACUGACGCUGAGGUGCGAAAGCGUGGGGAGCAAACAGG